CACACCAGUACUUCGAUUUCAACAAGACAUUUGCAUGAUACAGUAUCAAUUUAAAACCAUUGUUGGACUGUCCUGUUGGAAAUUUCAGCAAGGAGCAGCACUGAUCUAUAGAGGCUUGGGGGGUUUUAUAACAGAUCAGAAGACCAGCUUGGACCAAUUUAGGAUCCACAAAAGACGACUAAACUAUUCGGGAGCUGUAGUGAGAUGCCAGUAUUAAACCCGGACUACACUUCACCACUAUACACCACUGGAUUUCACCACUUCCACCAAGAGCACUUAUUCUGGACUCUGUGAACGUGUUGUGUUUAUUUGUGUUUAUUCAUGCUUUGUUAUUUCUGGACUGAAAUCCUGUUUACGAACUGAGCGAUACACAUUGUUGUGUAGAGCCCCUUUGUUAUUUAAAUGUUGCAGGCACGCAACCCAGCCUAUUAACCCUUUG